rnacentral:rRNA from 1 species
AUUAGAGUUUGAUCCUGGCUCAGAUUGAACGCUGGCGGCAUGCCUUACACAUGCAAGUCGAACGGCAGCACGGAGCUUGCUCUGGUGGCGAGUGGCGAACGGGUGAGUAAUAUAUCGGAACGUACCCUAGAGUGGGGGAUAACGUAGCGAAAGUUACGCUAAUACCGCAUACGAUCUAAGGAUGAAAGUGGGGGAUCGCAAGACCUCAUGCUCGUGGAGCGGCCGAUAUCUGAUUAGCUAGUUGGUAGGGUAAAAGCCUACCAAGGCAUCGAUCAGUAGCUGGUCUGAGAGGACGACCAGCCACACUGGAACUGAGACACGGUCCAGACUCCUACGGGAGGCAGCAGUGGGGAAUUUUGGACAAUGGGCGAAAGCCUGAUCCAGCAAUGCCGCGUGAGUGAAGAAGGCCUUCGGGUUGUAAAGCUCUUUUGUCAGGGAAGAAACGGUGAGAGCUAAUAUCUCUUGCUAAUGACGGUACCUGAAGAAUAAGCACCGGCUAACUACGUGCCAGCAGCCGCGGUAAUACGUAGGG